UCCCCCCUGUGCCCAGUGGAAAUUACGCCAUGCGUGUGUGUGUGCGUCAAGUGCAAUUAUGCAAGUUGCAAGUUGCAGCACACACACAGUAAAACUCUGCCCCUCAUGUGCUGUAUAGGCUGGCAUGAAUAGGCUGUGUUCAAUGGGGCUGAUGUGUUGUGUAGAUUCUGCCAGAAGGAAAGGUCACACUCCUUAUGAAGCGGUGAGCUGCCGCUCCACAUUGCUUUUCUUCCCGACUGCAACGCUGGUCCCGCAAAUCAAGCAAGAACGUGAUUGGUCAACAUUCAUUGUGGGGGGACGAGGGGUGUUAGAUAGAUAUAGAGUUGUAGUAAGUAGAUAGGGUUCGCUAUGAUUUAAUUACAUUUCCUUUUUUUGUGUGUAUUUUUUACAUUUUGGAUUUACUUGGUGAGCUACUUCUUGAGGGCUUGCGAGCUACCGGUAGCUCGCGAUCGACGUGUUGGAGACCCCUGGUUUAGAAGUAUCAGUGGGCAACUCAAAUACAAAAAUAAUGCAAUGUGGUUUAAUAGAAUUCUUCACAGAGUUUAGCUGCAGAUUACAAUAUUUAUUUAUUUAUUUAUGUUAGGAUUGGAUUAAAUAUUAAACAGACCUUUCAAGGUAAUAAAAAGAGUCAAUAACGAACCUUGUCUUCUCUUUUAUAACUGAUAAUAGUAAUACAUACGUGUGUGUAGGAGGGUUUAGGGCUGCAGGUGUCACGGUCCAAACUGUGUCCCUGUUUGUUCCCCUGUGUGUGUGGAGAGGGUGUGGUUUCCCUUGCAGCCUGAUUGCUCUCACCUGGCCGUCCGACUCAGCUGUCCCUCAUCAUCUAAUCAGGACACAGCUUCUACUCCAGUCUCCCAGCAACUCACCGCCAGAUUGUUUUCUACACCAGUGUGCAAUCCCUCGGCCAUCAUCCACCAGAGCUUCCAGCCAACCUGCCUGCUUCUUCCUGCAUCAUACCUGCCUGCCUUGUAAUCAGUCCAGCCUCUCACUGCCUACCUCCACUCCGGACCUCCAUAAUCACCAAACCUGCCUGAGUCUCCGAAACAAUAAACCAUUUAAACAUCUUCAGUCAUUGCCUGCGCCUGGGUCCUGUUUAAAACAUAAUCCUAACAGAAGGUGACUUUAAGGACACGGUAUUCAUGCCCUCUGUAUAUUAUUUAUAAGGGGGAGUUUAUGUUCAGUAUUUUAAAUAACAUGUUUUUUUAAUGCUGAUUCAAAUAUGUUUAGACUUUUUUAAAUGUAUGGUUAGGCCGACUGAAGGCAGGUCUAUUAAUACUCCACCAGAAUCUCAUCAUGGUAGAUUGCAGCAUUUAGGAAGAAUAAAGAUAUAUAUUAAACAUGGAUAUAUUUAAGAUUAAAAUGUUAAAUGUAUGAGUUUGUUGAGGUUGAUCCAACCAAGUAAAGGAAUGUGAUUCGAUGACCAAAAAGACCACUAUUUUUCAAGUUCUUUUCAUUUUAAUAUGUGACUUUAAUCGUGAAAAUCCAUGUUGUUUUUUUUGUGGAGGGUCUUACAUUUACUGCAUCAAUCUCAGCAAAUGUCUUGGAAAUUUACAAAUGUAAUCUUGGAAAUGAGAGCGUUUUUCCGCCAUAAUUAAACUUGCAGAAAAUCUAA